rnacentral:rRNA from 1 species
AUAUCUAACUCCGUGCCAGCAGCCGCGGUAAUACGGAGGGUGCGAGCGUUAAUCGGAAUUACUGGGCGUAAAGCGCAUGCAGGUGGUUUGUUAAGUCAGAUGUGAAAGCCCAGGGCUCAACCUCGGAAUUGCAUUUGAAACUGGCAGACUAGAGUACUGUAGAGGCCGGUAGAAUUUCAGGUGUAGCGGUGAAAUGCGUAGAGAUCUGAAGGAAUACCGGUGGCGAAGGCGGCCCCCUGGACAGAUACUGACACUCAGAUGCGAAAGCGUAGGGAGCAAACAGGAUUAGAUACCCUGGUAGUCCACGCCGUAAACGAUGUCUACUUGGAGGUUGUGGCCUUAAGCCGUGGCUUUCGGAGCUAACGCGUUAAGUAGACCGCCUGGGGAGUACGGUCGCAAGAUUAAAACUCAAAUGAAUCAGUGGGGGCCCGCACAAGCGGUGGAGCAUGUGGUUUA